UACGAAGGGGGCUAGCGUUGCUCGGAAUCACUGGGCGUAAAGCGCACGUAGGCGGAUUGCUAAGUCAGGGGUGAAAUCCUGGAGCUCAACUCCAGAACUGCCCUUGAUACUGGCGGUCUCGAGUCCGGGAGAGGUGAGUGGAACUGCGAGUGUAGAGGUGAAAUUCGUAGAUAUUCGCAAGAACACCAGUGGCGAAGGCGGCUCACUGGCUCGUAUCUGACGCUCAGGCGCGACAGCGUGGGGAUCAAACAGG
rnacentral:rRNA from 1 species